ACAACGUCUCUGGCCGCGGUUGCCGAGCGAGAGCGCCCGGGUCUCUUUCGGUGUACGUCUAUGGGGGAGAGAAGAUGGCUCCCUCCCCUGAGGAGGUGGAUGUUUUCACGGCCCCGCACUGGCGGAGGAAGCAACUCGUCGGGCUUUAUUGUGACAAGCUUUCUAAGACCAACUUCAACAACAACAAUGACUUCGGGGCUCUCCUCCAAUCCCCAUAUGCUACUUUUAAGGAAUUCAGAAUGCAUGAACAAAUUGAAGAUGAAUACAUAAUUGGAUUACUUCCGCAACGUGGCUGGGCUGUGUGUAGUGUACACUCAGACAAUAAAUUCCCAGAAAUGCUUGGCUUCUGAGAAAGGGUUGGAGAAUGUGAAGUUUGAGACCAUCCAGGGGGCAGAGCCCCCAAGAAGAGGAGUCGCCUUGUGGGGAGGCCUUGGGCUGCAGGUGAGUUGAUCCUGAGUGGUGCAGGGAGGGGAGAGAGGUUACUGGUUUCCAUAGAAACACAUCACCUGUAGUUUCCCAAGAAAAAAGAUGUUCCUAAGAGAUUUGCCCUGUACAACCAACCAGGUGCUUGGGGUUUAUUGACACCCAAGGCUCUCACUGGCCCCUUUUAAGAUAUGUAGGCACCUGGCUGUCUCAGGAGACAAUGGAGGAGUGAGGUCCUUUUGGGGGGAAGUCAAACUGCUGGAAGGUGGCCUGCUGUGGCCAUAGAGGCUGAUGGGGAGAGAUGUGUUCUGUUGCAUCUGGCGCAGAAGAAGGCAUCCAGUUGUGCUGCUGCAGAUGCACCAGGGCAUUUCAUCUCUCUGCACUCCUCCUAGCAGUCAUUCCUUCUCCGGUCAUUUCUGUGGAUACACAACUAUUAGGCAUUCAUGCACUGCAACCCAGUUCAUCUCAGGGCUAUCCAUAGCCAAUUGGUGAGUGACACAGAGUCACAAAGCCUUAAUCAGAUGAGGAACAACCCCUGUCCCUUGUAAGAGAGGGCAUCAGUGGGAGCUGCAAAAGCAUUUCCUCCUCCUUGCAUUCGAGAUGUUUACUUCGGUGUUUCCCGGUCACCAUGCCACAUUUGCAUCUGAGCGAGGGACAGGUAGUACACCAGUUCAGCUCAGGUUUUGAGACGAUAACAAUUAUGGGGGUUAAGGUAGCCAUUAUUUCUCCUUUGGUCCAUUGACCGAUAGGUAGAUGCAACUGCAGACCACAGAGAGGGAUGUCUGAAGAAGUGGGGAUCCUCUCUUGAGAGGCAGCAGGAGGUUCUGCUGCUCUUGCUGCCCCACCAGCAGCCAAGGCAGAAAGGAGGCUGGGGAAACCCAGCCAGAUGGGCAGGGUAUAGAUAAUAACAAUAAAAUGCCAGGAGAUUGUCAGGGGUGGAUUUGGGAAGCAGGAAGCAGACAUAGGCAAAGUUAGGAUCCAGGCAUGCUUCUAGCUCCAGAGAUUUUAACCACAGAAAUACUGAAAAGGUGUGUGGUUUUUUUCUUUGUUCCUUCUGCUAUACACAGGAAAUUGUACCCAGGAGCAGAGUGCAUUGCCAGGACCUGUCACACCCUCUUUCUCCAAGCUCCACUUAUACUUACACCCAAAAGCAAAAACAUCCCUCCGUCCCCCCUCAAUAACACCUGCCCACCCACCUCUCAGGUUUCUGCCUCCCACAUCCCAAAAACAUUCCUUCCCACCCCGCAAAAACCCAUCAUUCGUACCCCACAAGUCUCCAUCUCUCCGCACCUCUCAAGAACCCCCAGGG